GAUGAACGCUGGCGGCGUGCCUAAUACAUGCAAGUCGAGCGAACAGACGAGGAGCUUGCUCCUCUGACGUUAGCGGCGGACGGGUGAGUAACACGUGGAUAACCUACCUAUAAGACUUGGAGAACUUCGGGAAACCGGUGCUAAUACCGGAUAAUAUAAUGAACCGAAUGAUUCAAUAGUGAAAGACGGUUUUGCUGUCACUUAUAGAUGGAUCCGCGCCGCAUUAGCUAGUUGGUAAGGUAACGGCUUACCAAGGCAACGAUGCGUAGCCGACCUGAGAGGGUGAUCGGCCACACUGGAACUGAGACACGGUCCAGACUCCUACGGGAGGCAGCAGUAGGGAAUCUUCCGCAAUGGGCGAAAGCCUGACGGAGCAACGCCGCGUGAGUGAUGAAGGUCUUCGGAUCGUAAAACUCUGUUAUUAGGGAAGAACAAAUGUGUAAGUAACUAUGCACGUCUUGACGGCACCUAAUCAGAAAGCCACGGCUAACUACGUG
rnacentral:rRNA from 1 species